UACGAAGGGGGCUAGCGUUGCUCGGAAUCACUGGGCGUAAAGGGUGCGUAGGCGGGUCUUUAAGUCAGGGGUGAAAUCCUGGAGCUCAACUCCAGAACUGCCUUUGAUACUGAAGAUCUUGAGUCCGGGAGAGGUGAGUGGAACUGCGAGUGUUAGAGGUGAAAUUCGUAGAUAUUCGCAAGAACACCAGUGGCGAAGGCGGACUCACUGGCCCG
rnacentral:rRNA from 1 species